rnacentral:rRNA from 1 species
GAUGAACGCUGGCGGCGUGCCUAGUACAUGCAAGUCGAGCGAACGGACGAGAAGCUUGCUUCUCUGAUGUUAGCGGCGGACGGGUGAGUAACACGUGGAUAACCUACCUAUAAGACUGGGAUAACUUCGGGAAACCGGAGCUAAUACCGGAUAAUAUUUUGAACCGCAUGGUUCAAAAGUGAAAGACGGUCUUGCUGUCACUUAUAGAUGGAUCCGCGCUGCAUUAGCUAGUUGGUAAGGUAACGGCUUACCAAGGCAACGAUGCAUAGCCGACCUGAGAGGGUGAUCGGCCACACUGGAACUGAGACACGGUCCAGACUCCUACGGGAGGCAGCAGUAGGGAAUCUUCCGCAAUGGGCGAAAGCCUGACGGAGCAACGCCGCGUGAGUGAUGAAGGUCUUCGGAUCGUAAAACUCUGUUAUUAGGGAAGAACAUAUGUGUAAGUAACUGUGCACAUCUUGACGGUACCUAAUCAGAAAGCCACGGCUAACUACGUGCCAGCAGCCGCGGUAAUACGUAGGUGGCAAGCGUUAUCCGGAAUUAUUGGGCGUAAAGCGCGCGUAGGCGGUUUUUUAAGUCUGAUGUGAAAGCCCACGGCUCAACCGUGGAGGGUCAUUGGAAACUGGAAAACUUGAGUGCAGAAGAGGAAAGUGGAAUUCCAUGUGUAGCGGUGAAAUGCGCAGAGAUAUGGAGGAACACCAGUGGCGAAGGCGACUUUCUGGUCUGUAACUGACGCUGAUGUGCGAAAGCGUGGGGAUCGAACAGGAUUAGAUACCCUGGUAGUCCACGCCGUAAACGAUGAGUGCUAAGUGUUAGGGGGUUUCCGCCCCUUAGUGCUGCAGCUAACGCAUUAAGCACUCCGCCUGGGGAGUACGACCGCAAGGUUGAAACUCAAAGGAAUUGACGGGGACCCGCACAAGCGGUGGAGCAUGUGGUUUAAUUCGAAGCAACGCGAAGAACCUUACCAAAUCUUGACAUCCUUUGACAACUCUAGAGAUAGAGCCUUCCCCUUCGGGGGACAAAGUGACAGGUGGUGCAUGGUUGUCGUCAGCUCGUGUCGUGAGAUAUUGGGCUAAGUCCCGCAACGAGCGCAACCCUUAAGCUUAGUUGCCAUCAUUAAGUUGGGCACUCUAAGUUGACUGCCGGUGACAAACCGGAGGAAGGUGGGGAUGACGUCAAAUCAUCAUGCCCCUUAUGAUUUGGGCUACACACGUGCUACAAUGGACAAUACAAAGGGCAGCGAAACCGCGAGGUCAAGCAAAUCCCAUAAAGUUGUUCUCAGUUCGGAUUGUAGUCUGCAACUCGACUACAUGAAGCUGGAAUCGCUAGUAAUCGUAGAUCAGCAUGCUACGGUGAAUACGUUCCCGGGUCU